rnacentral:lncRNA from 10 species
UGAAGAGUCUUUGGAUAAAACAUCUCAUUCCGUUGGACGAAGAGCUCGCUACAUAGUCAAAAACCCACAGGCCUAUCUCAACUAUAAAGUGUGCCUGGCCGAGGUGUACCAGGAUAAAGCACUUGUUGGAGAUUUCAUGAAUCGAAGAGGUGACUAUGAUGACCCAAAGGUUUGUGCCAACGAGUUUAAAGAAUUUGUGGAGAAGCUUAAAGAAAAGUUCAGUUCAGCCCUAAGGAAUUCUAACCUUGAAAUCCCAGACACACUCCAGGAGCUGUUCGCCAGGUAAGCCGUUUCUGGGAUGGUUCCAUGUGGCCCUCGCAGGGCAAGAAGAAAAGGCCAGCCCUGUCUCCCUUAUCAGCAGGUCCGGGAAGCGCACAGCACCUGCCUGGCUGCAUUUGGCCUUGCAGUGGCCCUCCUGUCUCUCCUCUCAUGGGUGACUUGAACACAGAAUGGGACCUAGCACCCUGCCGGGCAUUUAUGUUCAUUCUCCCAUUGGUCCUUCAGGCUUCCUUGUUUGGUUGGUGUACUUUUUGCUAGGUUUGCUUACUUUACCUUUGAGGAAAUUCCUAUGUAAGUAACGUGCCCAAGGUCACAGUGCUUGUAAGUACCAGGGCCAGGAUUUGAACAUAGGAGGGUCUGUAACCA